AUUGAACGCUGGCGGCAGGCCUAACACAUGCAAGUCGAACGGUAACAGGAAGAAGCUUGCUUCUUUGCGGACGAGUGGCGGACGGGUGAGGAAUGUCUGGGAAACUGCCUGAUGGAGGGGGAUAACUACUGGAAACGGUAGCUAAUACCGCAUAACGUCGCAAGACCAAAGAGGGGGACCUUCUGGCCUCUUGCCAUCGGAUGUGCCCAGAUGGGAGUAGCUAGUAGGGGGGGUAACGGCUCACCUAGGCGACGAUCCCUAGCUGGUCUGAGAGGAUGACCAGCCACACUGGAACUGAGACACGGUCCAGACUCCUACGGGAGGCAGCAGUGGGGAAUAUUGCACAAUGGGCGCAAGCCUGAUGCAGCCAUGCCGCGUGUAUGAAGAAGGCCUUCGGGUUGUAAAGUACUUUCAGCGGGGAGGAAGGGAGUAAAGUUAAUACCUUUGCUCAUUGACGUUACCCGCAGAAGAAGCACCGGCUAACUCCGUG
rnacentral:rRNA from 1 species